AUUCCCACAGUCUAGUGGUAUGACGCAUCCUUCACACGGAUGAGGUCCCGGGUUCGAUCCCCGGUGGAAGUA
rnacentral:tRNA from 1 species